AUUGAACGCUGGCGGCAUGCCUUACACAUGCAAGUCGAACGGCAGCACGGGAGCUUGCUCCUGGUGGCGAGGGGCGAACGGGUGAGUAAUACAUCGGAACGUACCCUGAAGUGGGGGAUAACGUAGCGAAAGUUACGCUAAUACCGCAUAUUCUGUGAGCAGGAAAGAGGGGGAUCGCAAGACCUCUUGCUUUAGGAGCGGCCGAUGUCGGAUUAGCUAGUUGGUGAGGUAAAGGCUCACCAAGGCGACGAUCCGUAGCGGGUCUGAGAGGAUGAUCCGCCACACUGGGACUGAGACACGGCCCAGACUCCUACGGGAGGCAGCAGUGGGGAAUUUUGGACAAUGGGCGCAAGCCUGAUCCAGCCAUGCCGCGUGAGUGAAGAAGGCCUC
rnacentral:rRNA from 1 species